rnacentral:rRNA from 1 species
GCUAGUAAUCGCGGAUCAGAAUGCCGCGGUGAAUACGUUCCCGGGUCUUGUACACACCGCCCGUCACACCAUGGGAGUCGGAAAUGCCCGAAGUCUGUGACCCAACCUUAGGGAGGGAGCAGCCGAAGGCAGGUCGGAUGACUGGGGUGAAGUCGUAACAAGGUACC